rnacentral:rRNA from 1 species
AUACGGAGGGAGCAAGCGUUAUUCGGAAUCACUGGGCGUAAAGGACGCGUAGGCGGGUUUGUAAGUCAGGUGUGAAAUCCUACAGCUCAACUGUAGAACUGCACUUGAAACUACAGACCUAGAGUAUGGAAGGGGCAGAUGGAAUUAGUGGUGUAGGGGUAAGAUCCGUAGAUAUCACUAGGAAUACCGAAAGCGAAGGCGAUCUGCUGGGACAUUACUGACGCUGAGGCGUGAAAGCGUGGGGAGCAAACAGGAUUAGAUACCCCAGUAGUCC